rnacentral:rRNA from 1 species
UACGUAGGGGGGCAAGCGUUGUCCGGAUUUACUGGGCGUAAAGAGCGCGCAGGCGGUCGGAUAAGUCGAAUGUGAAAGCCCCCGGCUCAACUGGGGAGGGUCAUUCGAUACUGUUCGACUCGAAGGCAGGAGAGGGAAGUGGAAUUCCCGGUGUAGUGGUGAAAUGCGUAGAUAUCGGGAGGAACACCAGUGGCGAAGGCGACUUCCUGGCCUGUUCUUGACGCUGAGGCGCGAAAGCUAGGGGAGCAAACGGG